ensembl:lncRNA
GUUCUCUGUCUGUGGACUCCAAGCCAAGUUGCCUGUAAGAAGUUGUCAAGUCCCAAAACUCUAUUGUUGCCAAUUCCCUAAUAGAAAGGAUACUUGCAGUGUGUCUUCUGAGCAGAGAAGUGGAGGAGGAACAGAGGACUUAGCCUCUGUGGGGACUGGGACAAAAGAGAGGGUGGGGAGAUGGCGAUACGGAAGCCUUUGAAUCUUUAUCAAAUAAUGGUUUGAGGGUAGAGACCAUUUUUAGGAUGCCUGCUACGGCUUCUUGUCCCUCUUGUCUCAGUUUAGGAAAUCCCAUCAAGCCCCAUCACUAGGCUCCAGAUAUUCUUUAGUGCCUCAUGUCCCCAAAUUACUUCUCUUGUCUGACCUCAGUUUGUACCAACAGGCCCCUCUCUUCCAUGUCCUGAACUAGCACACUAAGAAAAAAUGAUCUGCUUCUAAAAGUUAUAACCUUUCUCUCCUCUUUUCUUUCCAGUAUAUAAGAUUUCACCUCUGUUCUUAACGGUGGUGUCUUCUGAUCAUAGAAUAUCAUGUAGAAUUUGCCUUUGUUCUUCACGAUGGUGGCUUCUGAGCAUAGAAUAUGGUGUAGCUCUCCAUUUAUUUCGUUCUUUUUAAAUUCCUCACUACAGCAUUCUGCAGUUUUCAGUGUACAGAUAUUACAUACAUUGUGUUAUAUUUAUCUCUAAAUAUUGCAUUUUUGGUGCUACUGUAACUAGUAUUUUGUCAUUUCUAUUUUGAAAUUUUUAUUGCCAAUUUUUUUAAGUUCUCAUCCUCCUCCCCACUGGCUUCUCUCUGGAUUCUGAUGUCUUGGCUGACUUCGGAUUCUGUUGAAGUUGCCUUUCACUGCCCAGGAGAGGGUGGUCCCUGGAUCAGACAGUGCAUCAGCCCAGGGUCUCACUGCCAUCGGGAGAAGAACUCAUAUGUCUCCAGAAAGGACAGUGAUGGGGGCUGCGGACCUCUCCUCCCAGAGGAAGGUGAGAACCCUCGCUCUGAUAACAGUGGGAAAGUUGCUUCUCCUUCCUUGCAUGAUACUUCUCCUCCAGCCCCUGGACAUCAGACUCCAGGUUGUUCCUUUGGCUUUCAAGCUCUGCAUCUUGUACCAGCGGCCACCCAGGGGAUCUCAGGCCAUCGGUCUCAGACUGAGGGCUGCACUGUCAGCUUCCAUGGUUUUGAGGCUUUUGGAAUUAAACUGUGACACGCUACCACCUUCCCUGGAAGCCACACGGGCAACAGAGCAAGACUCUGUCUCAAAAAACAAACAAACAACAACAACAACAACAAAAACAAAAAAACAGCAGAGUCUUUUUCUAGUAAAAAUGAAAGGACCCUGCAUUGAGGCCAUGAAGGGAUGUGAUACGUCAGAUGCUGGGAUUUGGACACGAGUGUCUCUGGGACCCUGCCCAUUGUUACGAGGCAUCUCUGAGUCGGCCAGCAGAUGUUCUGCUGGAAUGCAGGGAGAGAAUAUGGGUCUGUCUAGAGGGCCCCAAGAGGUCACACCUGCAUUCUAAGCCAGGGACAAGUGAAGAAGCAGAGACGGGAAUGUGCCACGGCUGGAGGUCAGGGCUUGUUGAGAGGAGAGCAAUACAGGGCAUGGGCUCUGUGACAGUGGAUUCAGAAAUGGCCCAUGAAGCCUGGAGAAUAUUCUUUCCUGGGAUGUUUAUGCUGGAUUGAAGGUAGCUGGUAUAGGGCUGAGCAGACAAUCUUCCCGGGGUUGCAGUCUAUGAAGUUAUUCAGAGUCCCCUGCUUAACGUAGGCUCUGCUGCCACCACCUUGAAAUUCUCCAUAAAUUCUGAACAGCAGCAGAGCGUGUCUGGUGUAGGGAGAGAGGCUUCCCACUUUCUCCCCGUGCUGUUGUCAGGUUCCCCUGCUGGGCCAAGCACAGAGGUUGCUGCUGCCAAUGCUGAUGGUCUUAGCAUCUUAGCUCUCCAGGAUCAAUGCUCCUUUUCCACUUCCUCAACCUCUGGGGUCUGUACAGGGACUCUGCUGUUUACAAAAUGGCAAAAAUGGCCUGUCCAUCUGAGAGAUUAGUGACUUUAACCAUGCAAAGGGUGGCUGCCAAGGUUUUGUGGACAAGAGCUGUGUGGUCAAGUGUAACCAGUUGGCUUCGUGGAAGAUCGUCUCUCCUGACGGGGCUGGCGUGAGGCUGUGCUCAGUUGCUCGACGGGCAAAGCCUAUCCCAAAGGUCUCCCUCAGUGUCACAGAGUUCAGAUAACUGGGACAAUCUGUUACCAUUCAGAUGGACACCUUCCGAUACAAAAGUCCGAGGCUUCCAUUUCUCUCAGUGUCAGACAUAGGGGAUGUCUGGCUUUUUGUUCUUCUAGAGCUCUCCUCUGAAAAUGGUCAGAUAGGGGAAAAGGAGCAAGUAAUGUUCUCCCCUGACUUGAGCUACAGUUUAUACGAUGUGGAGGUAGGUGACUUGGAUAUUUACAUCGUCUCUCUCUGUCCUCUAAUUAUGCACCAGAGAAAGCGAGUGAGUGAAUGCUGGCCAGCCUGUUCUAAUUCUUCAGUAGGGUGUGCAGCUCAUCCUCUCUGGACUAAGUUUUUAGAAAGUGAAUUCUUUUAAUACCACAGCUCACAUUUCUCCAUUGUAAGACUGAAUCUGUUCCUGUCCCAAACAGGUGAAGAGUAGUGUGGAUCAUUCCAUUACUCAUACAAAAGACUCAUGCACCCCCAUCGGAGUCUGAGAGCCCCAGAGACUCACAGCCGGGUGUUCUUGUUCCUUAGACACCGACGGCAAACAUCUCAGCUGAGACUGUGACUCAGGAUUCCUUCCAACAAGUUUUGACAUGUUGCUUCACAUUUUCCUUUAGGCAAGUGGGCAAUUAGCUGAGCCAGCCGUACUGCACACAGGCCUGUGGGCUUCAGCAGGUGGCGGGGACAGAACACGGGUCCAGACAUGGGGCAGGUUGGGCUUCCACACCGUAAGAAAACACAUGGAGCUCAGGAUUGAACAAUAUUUGCUCCAUUCAUCCACAGGGAAAGGUCUCUUCUCAUCGCAAUGGCGGAGAAGGUGCACGACUUGGCCUCUUGCUCCAAAGGCAGAAGCACUCUGCCCGCCAGCGCGAGGCCACACCCAUGUGUGCUGAAAGUGCAACCACAGUCAUCAACGUCUUCUUCUAUUCCACCUAAGUAAGGCUCAACGACAAAUUGAAAUCUUAUUGCAAUCGGUAGACAAUAGGAUUUUAAAAGGUCUGAGAAGAGGAUUACCAUAUCGUUACGAUAUUACAGUCUGAUUUAAACAGUUCUGUUUUCUUGUAAAUUGUUUUCUUGCUCAUGAAAUAUCUAUUUUACAUGUGGUACAAACCCCAACUGGGAUUGAAAAACAACAACAACGAGAAUUUGACAUUCCUCAAACAGUACUUUCUUAUUAACCAACAACAACAAUUAGGAAAUGUUUCAAGUAACUUUAAUCUCUGUGCUUGAAUACACAUUGUUCAUUUUCCUAUGUCAACAAAUACAGGCUGAUGUUUUAGAACAGAUUUCCAUAUGCUAAUUUAUCUCUUUCCUUUUCUGAAAGAUUGUCUUUCCUGACUGUUAAUUCCAGCUGACGGAAUGGUUUUGCCUUUUAUUCUCUGCAAAAUAAUGCACUGUUGCAAAGUGAUUUCUAAUAAACAGUAUCUAGGAAAGAGCUACAAUACUGAUUGUUUUUGACAACCAAAAAUGCAUUAUUAAUGAAAUAAUGUCAUUGGCAGCAUCCUGGCCACAAGCUGAUUAUUUACAGUGUAUUUUUCUGUUCAGAAUUGUGGUCCUAUAGUACAGCCACUAUGGAAAACAGUGUGAUGAUCUCUCAAAAAACUAAAAAUAGAGCUACCACACAAUCCAGCAAUCCCACUACUGAAUAUUUAUUCAAAGGAAACGGAAUCCAUAUGGCAUCCUCCUGUUUAUCACAAACUAUUCACAAGAGUAAAGAUAAGAAAUCAACCGAAGUGCCUAUCCA